AAGCGGGGAAAAGAAACCAACAGGGAUUGCCCUAGUAACGGCGAGUGAAGUGGCAAAAGCUCAAAUUUGAAAUCUGGCCCUCUGGUUUGAGUUGUAAUUUGGAGAGGCAUCUUCCGUAGGGGUCCAGUCAAUGUUCCUUGGAAUAGGACAUCAUAGAGGGUGAGAAUCCCGUUCAUGGUUGGAUGUACCCUUCAAUAGGUAGUGCUUUCUAUGAGUCGAGUUGUUUGGGAAUGCAGCUCAAAAUGGGUGGUAAAUUUCAUCUAAAGCUAAAUAUUGGCGAGAGACCGAUAGCGUACAAGUAGAGUGAUCGAAAGAUGAAAAGCACUUUGAAAAUAGAGUCAAACAGUACGUGAAAUUGUUGAAAGGGAAGCGCUUGAGACCAGACUCAGCCUUGAACAAACAACUUUCCUUCUGGUUGGUGCACUUGCUCUUGGCUGGGCCAGCAUCAGUUGGGACGGUGGAAUAAAGGUUUGGGGAAUGUGACUCCAUUUAGGAGUGUUAUAGCCCCAGGCGCCAUCCUACCUGUUCUGACUGUGGACCGCGCAUUUGCUAGGAUGCUGGCAUAAUGGUCUUUAGCGGCCCGUCUUGAAACACGGACCAAGGAGUCUAACAUCUGUGCAAGUGUUUGGGCUAUAGACCCUCACGCGUAAUAAAAGUGAAUGGAGGUGGGAAGCCUGCAAGGGAUGCACCAUCGACCGAUCCUGAUGUCUUCGGAUGGAUUUGAGUAGGAGCAUAGCUGUUGGGACCCGAAAGAUGGUGAACUAUGCCUGAAUAGGGUGAAGCCAGAGGAAACUCUGGUGGAGGCUCGCAGCGGUUCUGACGUGCAAAUCGAUCGUCAAA
rnacentral:rRNA from 1 species